rnacentral:rRNA from 1 species
CUACGGAGGGUCCAAGCGUUAUCCGGAAUCAUUGGGUUUAAAGGGUCCGCAGGCGGUCAAUUAAGUCAGAGGUGAAAGCCCAUCGCUCAACGAUGGAACUGCCUUUGAUACUGGUUGACUUGAGUUAUACGGAAGUAGAUAGAAUAAGUAGUGUAGCGGUGAAAUGCAUAGAUAUUACUUAGAAUACCGAUUGCGAAGGCAGUCUACUACGUAUAUACUGACGCUGAGGGACGAAAGCGUGGGGAGCGAACAGGAUUAGAAACCCAGUAGUCC